rnacentral:rRNA from 1 species
GACGAACGCUGGCGGCGUGCUUAACACAUGCAAGUCGAGCGGAAAGGCCACUUCGGUGGUACUCGAGCGGCGAACGGGUGAGUAACACGUGAGUAACCUGCCCUUCACUUUGGGAUAACCCCCGGAAACGGGAGCUAAUACCGGAUACGACCUUCAACCGCAUGGUUUGUUGGUGGAAACUUUUUGGGUGGGGGAUGUGCUCGCGGCCUAUCAGCUUGUUGGUGGGGUAAUGGCCUACCAAGGCUUUGACGGGUAGCCGGCCUGAGAGGGUGACCGGCCACACUGGGACUGAGACACGGCCCAGACUCCUACGGGAGGCAGCAGUGGGGAAUAUUGGACAAUGGGCGGAAGCCUGAUCCAGCAACGCCGCGUGAGGGAUGACGGCCUUCGGGUUGUAAACCUCUUUCAGCACCGACGAAGCGCAAGUGGCGGUAGGUGCAGAAGAAGGACCGGCCAACUACGUGCCAGCAGCCGCGGUAAAAC